UGUUAUGUCCGCGUGAAACGACAUUCAAAUAAUAUAGUAAUAUUAUUAUAUAGGAAGUCGAUGACGUUUGUUUUUACGACCAACAACGCCGAACGGAGUUUCAAUAUAGUUAAUUAUUUUAAUUAUUAUUAUCAUAAUGGUUAUUGGAGAACUCAAAUACGCCUUGAGCUACAGUCAUCGUAGUGCUGCACACUUUCUGUGACAAUAAAGAACGAUCGAGCAUGAUACAUGGUAUUGGUUCAAACAGAUAACGAAAACCAAUUUUAUAAUCCAUAUAAAAAGUUGAAUAACCUAGAAAAAUGAUUUUUUGGCUUUUGGUCUACAAUUUUUAAGAAAUCAAAGAUGCAUUUUCGAAUUAAUAAUGAGUUACAGCAAAACAAGCCUUACAACCAUAAGAAGUUUGCGUACACGGCAACAAUAAUUUUUACGCCACAAAAUUGACGACUACUAAGCACAACAAAUGACUAAAAACCAUUAAAAAUGUGUAUUUACUAAGUACUUAUCUAUACUUGACUUUUAUACUAACCGGACAAUUUAUUCAAAAGUUUAUGUAUUUCGACGAGCCACACAUUAAGUAUAAACAUACUGUACAUAUAAAUGUCACUAAUCAU